GUGCUCGCUUCGGCAGCACAUAUACUAAAAUUGGAACGAUACAGAGAAGAUUAGCAUGGCCCCUGCGCAAGGAUGAAAUAGAGGCUGUGAGGGGUAAAAGUUAACAUA